UACGGGAGGCAGCAGUGGGGAAUAUUGGACAAUGGGGGCAACCCUGAUCCAGCAAUUCUGUGUGCACGAAGAAGGUUUUCGGAUUGUAAAGUGCUUUCAGCAGGGAAGAAGAAAGUGACGGUACCUGCAGAAGAAGCGACGGCUAAAUACGUGCCAGCAGCCGCGGUAAU
rnacentral:rRNA from 1 species